rnacentral:rRNA from 1 species
UACGGGGGGGGCAAGCGUUGUUCGGAAUUACUGGGCGUAAAGGGCUCGUAGGCGGCCAACUAAGUCAUACGUGAAAUCCCUCGGCUUAACCGGGGAACUGCGUCUGAUACUGGAUGGCUUGAGUUCGGGAGAGGGAUGCGGAAUUCCAGGUGUAGCGGUGAAAUGCGUAGAUAUUCGGAGGAACACCAGUGGCGAAGGCGGCUCACUGGUCCAUUACUGACGCUGAGGUGCGAAAGCGUGGGGAGCAAACAGG